GGAGAGUUUGAUCAUGGCUCAGAACGAACGCUGGCGGCAGGCCUAACACAUGCAAGUCGAGCGCACCCUUCGGGGCGAGCGGCGGACGGGUUAGUAACGCGUGGGAAUGUACCCUUCUCUAUGGAAUAGCCUCGGGAAACUGAGAGUAAUACCAUAUACGCCCUUCGGGGGAAAGAUUUAUCGGAGAAGGAUCAGCCCGCGUAAGAUUAGAUAGUUGGUGGGGUAAUGGCCUACCAAGUCUACGAUCUUUAGCUGGUUUUAGAGGAUGAUCAGCAACACUGGGACUGAGACACGGCCCAGACUCCUACGGGAGGCAGCAGUGGGGAAUCUUAGACAAUGGGCGCAAGCCUGAUCUAGCCAUGCCGCGUGUGUGAUGAAGGCCUUAGGGUCGUAAAGCACUUUCGCCAGGGAUGAUAAUGACAGUACCUGGUAAAGAAACCCCGGCUAACUCCGUGCCAGCAGCCGCGGUAAUACGGAGGGGGUUAGCGUUGUUCGGAAUUACUGGGCGUAAAGCGCACGUAGGCGGAUCAGAAAGUUGGGGGUGAAAUCCCAGGGCUCAACCCUGGAACUGCCUCCAAAACUCCUGGUCUUGAGUUCGAGAGAGGUGAGUGGAAUUCCGAGUGUAGAGGUGAAAUUCGUAGAUAUUCGGAGGAACACCAGUGGCGAAGGCGGCUCACUGGCUCGAUACUGACGCUGAGGUGCGAAAGUGUGGGGAGCAAACAGGAUUAGAUACCCUGG
rnacentral:rRNA from 1 species